rnacentral:rRNA from 1 species
UGGGGAAUUUUGGACAAUGGGGGCAACCCUGAUCCAGCCAUCCCGCGUGUGCGAUGAAGGCCUUCGGGUUGUAAAGCACUUUUGGCAGGGAAGAAACAGCCUGGGCUAAUAUCCCGGGCGACUGACGGUACCUGCAGAAUAAGCACCGGCUAACUACGUGCCAGCAGCCGCGGUAAUACGUAGGGUGCAAGCGUUAAUCGGAAUUACUGGGCGUAAAGCGUGCGCAGGCGGUUCGGAAAGAAAGGUGUGAAAUCCCAGGGCUUAACCUUGGAACUGCACUUUUAACUACCGGGCUAGAGUACGUCAGAGGGGGGUAGAAUGCCACGUGUAGCAGUGAAAUGCGUAGAGAUGUGGAGGAAUACCGAUGGCGAAGGCAGCCCCCUGGGAUGAUACUGACGCUCAUGCACGAAAGCGUGGGGAGCAAACA